rnacentral:rRNA from 1 species
CAGCCGCCGCGGUAAUACGUAGGGUGCAAGCGUUAAUCGGAAUUACUGGGCGUAAAGCGUGCGCAGGUGGUUCGGAAAGAAAGAUGUGAAAUCCCAGAGCUUAACUUUGGAACUGCAUUUUUAACUACCGGGCUAGAGUGUGUCAGAGGGAGGUGGAAUUCCGCGUGUAGCAGUGAAAUGCGUAGAUAUGCGGAGGAACACCGAUGGCGAAGGCAGCCUCCUGGGAUAACACUGACGCUCAUGCACGAAAGCGUGGGGAGCAAACAGGAUUAGAUACCCUGGUAGUCCACGCCCUAAACGAUGUCAACUAGCUGUUGGGGCCUUCGGGCCUUGGUAGCGCAGCUAACGCGUGAAGUUGACCGCCUGGGGAGUACGGUCGCAAGAUUAAAACUUAAAGGAAUUGGCGGG